CCGGGGCAUCAAAUAAUUUUUGAAUUUGCAGUGAUACCUUCUGGGACAGUUCUGGCUCCUGAGAGGCUUUUUUUUUUUGUGCGGUUUAGGGCAACAGGUGUGGUGUUAUGCAGCCCUGUGCAGCCACAUGGUCAAUAACCUCCGAAGGCUGAAUUUGCCAGUCCGUUUCAGCUGUUUCCUGACGGUCCAGCAGAGCAAGCAUGAAUGGAGAUUGCCUUGGUAGAUUGUUAUGGUGCUUCCCCUCAGCACAGAGGCGACUUGAGGGAGAAGCAGCCCAGCCUUGGUUUAAAGGUGGAGCAACCAAGCACCCUGGACACCGAGCAGCAUUCUGUACAGGAUGCUUCAUAUAUCUGCAAGGAAAGGGGGAAACAAGAUGCAAAAUGUUUCCAAAAAGAUCCUCCUUUUAGAAAAGAAAAAAAUUACUGCAACAAAAGCAAGACAUUCUUCUUACCAUCCGGUAGAUCAUUAUUAGUUCCUGUUUGGAGGAGACAAAACACAACAACUUCUGCUGGAAGACAAAGCACUAAGAAGAUCAACAACAAUAACAGCUUCUCCCUGUUUGCAUGUGUUACCAGGCCUCAAUUUUCUCUUCAGCAUCCUGUCCAACUUGUUUUUCCUUUAAUUAUCAUAAAUCAAACCUGCAGUCAAAUCCCUCUUCAAUCUGAGCAAAGCUCACCUUACUGGGACCCUUUUGAUUCAGUGGAGACCACAAAGAAUAAGAUCACAGAAGAAAGCUAACAAAAUAAGAUUGUUCCAUUGGCUUUUUUAAACACAAUGAAUAAAAAGGCUGAAUUUGUCAACCCAAGUGCCAUUACAUGACUGUGAAAGAAAAACAGGUUUGGGGAUGUCAUUGGGUUCCACCUGAUCCAUGUUUUAAAAUACCAAAACCCAGCAGCUCUUCCUGUGUAGAUGGGGGCUUCUCCCCUUCAAGAAGGAUGGCAAGGUCAUAGUUACAGCCUUUGUACUGCGCGGUCGGUUCCCUGGCAGUUACAUCUGGGACAUUUAUUGGCUUCUUCUGUUAGAAAGAGGAGGUAGCAAAACCCUUUCACAUCUGGAUUCCAGCCCAAGGUCAAUGUGUUAGGCAGCAUUUAGCUUUCUAAGGAAUAUUAGAUAAAAGGUAACUUUUUGUCUUAUAUUCCGACUUGGCAAUUCUUCAUCUCCCAUUGUUUCUUCGACAGCUUCUCUGACAUUCUCACUAAAACAAUUUCCAAGCUAUUCCACAUGUUUCCUUUGUAUAGUAGUGCUUUUUGUCUCAUUGCUAGGUCAUGGGGAAAAACACCAUGUCCGUACAUUAAUCCAUUUUAAGUUGUUGCUGCUCUGUGUAGGGAGUUGUAAGAUCCAACAUUUAAGUCCACAUGAGCCCCAGUGAAAAACUUGAGUGCUUUGUUGACUAACGGCAUGCUAAGGUUUCACGGCUUGCACAGGGUCGUGUGGGAUUCACAAGAAUAUAAAAUAGUCCAGUAACUUACACUGAGAUCAACAGACCAAGGUUCCCCACAAAAUAUUCUGGUCUGUUUAGCACUUCACUGUUUAGCACUUUUUUAGCCUCAUAGUGACAACAUAGUUUUCUUCCAGUUAAAGAAGAUUUUUCUCUUCUCUUGAAAUCCUUACAGAAAAUAAGAGCUAUUUUACAAGAAGAAAGUUUUGACAACAUAAAAUUCAUUAUGUUAUUUUCACAGACCUAAACAACGAAAUCUCUGAGAAUUGCUGCAGGGUAUUUAUUAGUAUUCAUACGGAGUAUUCAUUUUUUCCCAGCGAAACUACCAUUUGAUCUAAAUGAAAAAGAUAUUCCUUUCAAGUCAGCAGCAGUUUGCGUCAACAAGAACGUUCAUUUUAUGUGCUGAUUCAGCCCUAUAGAUAUUGAAGCAUGAAACUCAGAUGAGCACGUGCACGGCAUAAUUACGACGCCAAUUUUGAAAAACGAAAAGUUUUGUUUCAUGCAGUUGCUAACUACCUUUGUUUUCUUCUUUCAUAUGAAUUCUUUACAUUCCUGAAUAAACACAGAUAAUAAAUACAUACAUGGUAAAAUAGUAUCUUAAAAUAGGUGUGCGAAGGACUGAGCAAUUAGUCACAGUUGCUAAAAUAAGGUCACACAGGCUGAAUUCAGCAGGUGAAACUCCUCUCUGGAGCAAAUUGGGGUUUUAUCAAUUUCAGUAGGCCAGGGUACAUCAGUUGGAGAUCUCUUCAGAAAGCUGUUUAAUGGUGACCUACUUUACCCCAUCCCUUUGGAGGUGGUUGCUUUUCCUUGUUACACCUGUUUUUCGACCCCUCAGGCUGCCUUCAGACUGCAUGCUAAGUCUGCAGGAGUUACGCUGUUACCGAAAAUGACCAAGUUCUUACAGCAGUUUUCAGCAAUACUUCAUUUGGCCUACUGUGUUUACUAAAGGAGACGUCAAAGGUCUCUCUGAAGCACUUUCAAGAUACAUCUAUUUUUAUUACUUUGAUGCAUUGAUUACUAGUCAGAUUUGGACCAUCCUAAUUCAGUUGCUCCUCCAAUGCUUGUUCCAGGAUGCAAAUGUACUAAGCAAACCACAACUUUUGAGAAGUGUUUAGGUUUAACAAAUGAUUUGACCAGCAUACCUAAUACAUUGUCAAAGUUGCUAAUCCAGAUAAAAUGUUCAGGAUUAAAGUUAAUUAUUCAAACAGGCUAGCUAACAUAUUUCACGGGCUCCCUAGUAUAGGCAAGGCUGUUCAGACUUCACAACAUGCUGCGUUGCUUGAUUUGAAGUGUAGGCUUCCAUUUACCUGGCUUGCUACAUACUAAGUACAAUUUUCACUGAGUGAUUAGAGUUACGGAGAAUUAGUUAGUCUGAGCUAAUCAGGACACU